UGUAAUAAUUUCCAAUAUUAAUAUUUUCUUUAAAUGAAAAUAUAUUUGCGAUAGAUACUCACCACUUAACACAAAGAAGUUAUAUUCCACCUAAUUUCUUACCUAAACUCACGAGAAAUCUCGUGAGUUGCAUUACUCGAUAAUGACAUUAUUGUACAGCAAAAUCCCUCCACCAAUAGGAUAGUGACACCACCUCCUUGUGUACUGGCUCCUUCUAUACUGAUGCA